GUGAGUCAUCGAAUCUUUGAACGCAUAUUGCGCCCCUUGGUAUUCCGGGGGGCACACCUGUUCGAGCGCCAUUUCAACCCUCAAGCAAUGCUUGGUGUUGGGCAGGGUCCUUUAGGGGACCCGCCCGUAACUCGUAGGCGGCUUCCGACCCGCUCCCCCAGCGUAGCAGGCUAACGCACUCGCUCGGGGACGGUCAGCGUGGUCAGCCCAUUAAACCCCCCAAGGUUUGGCCUCGGAUCAGGUGGGGAUACCCGCUGAACUUAAGCAUAUCAAUAAGCGGAGGA
rnacentral:misc_RNA from 1 species